rnacentral:tRNA from 2 species
CGGGGCGUAGCGCAGUCUGGUAGCGCACCGGUUUUGGGUACCGGAGGUCGUUGGUUCGAAUCCAAUCGCCCCGACCA